rnacentral:rRNA from 1 species
GACGAAGGAUGCAAGCGUUAUCCGGAUUCAUUGGGUUUAAAGGGUGCGUAGGCGGACUGAUAAGUCAGUGGUGAAAUCUCUUUGCUUAACAAAGAAACUGCCAUUGAUACUGUCGGUCUAGAGUAUAGAUGACGUUGGCGGAAUAUGACAUGUAGUGGUGAAAUACUUAGAUAUGUCAUAGAACACCGAUUGCGAAGGCAGCUAACGAAACUAUAACUGACGCUGAGGCACGAAAGUGCGGGGAUCAAAACA